rnacentral:rRNA from 1 species
UCGAGGGGCAGCACAGGUAGCAAUACCGGGUGGCGACCGGCGCACGGGUGAGUAACGCGUAUGCAACUUGCCUAUCAGAGGGGGAUAACCCGGCGAAAGUCGGACUAAUACCGCAUGAAGCAGGGAUCCCGCAUGGGGAUAUUUGCUAAAGAUUCAUCGCUGAUAGAUAGGCAUGCGUUCCAUUAGGCAGUUGGCGGGGUAACGGCCCACCAAACCGACGAUGGAUAGGGGUUCUGAGAGGAAGGUCCCCCACAUUGGUACUGAGACACGGACCAAACUCCUACGGGAGGCAGCAGUGAGGAAUAUUGGUCAAUGGGCGUAAGCCUGAACCAGCCAAGUCGCGUGAGGGAUGAAGGUUCUAUGGAUCGUAAACCUCUUUUAUAAGGGAAUAAAGUGCGGGACGUGUCCCGUUUUGUAUGUACCUUAUGAAUAAGGAUCGGCUAACUCCGUGCCAGCAGCCGCGGUAAUACGGAGGAUCCGAGCGUUAUCCGGAUUUAUUGGGUUUAAAGGGUGCGUAGGCGGCCUUUUAAGUCAGCGGUGAAAGUCUGUGGCUCAACCAUAGAAUUGCCGUUGAAACUGGGGGGCUUGAGUAUGUUUGAGGCAGGCGGAAUGCGUGGUGUAGCGGUGAAAUGCAUAGAUAUCACGCAGAACCCCGAUUGCGAAGGCAGCCUGCCAAGCCAUUACUGACGCU